rnacentral:rRNA from 1 species
AGCGAACGCUGGCGGCAGGCUUAACACAUGCAAGUCGAACGCAUCCUUCGGGGUGAGUGGCAGACGGGUGAGUAACACGUGGGAACGUACCCUUCGAUCUGGGAUAACUUCGGGAAACUGGAGCUAAUACCGGAUACGCCCUUUUGGGGAAAGGUUUACUGUCGAAGGAUCGGCCCGCGUCUGAUUAGCUAGUUGGUGGGGUAACGGCCUACCAAGGCGACGAUCAGUAGCUGGUCUGAGGGGAUGAUCAGCCACACUGGGACUGAGACACGGCCCAGACUCCUACGGGAGGCAGCAGUGGGGAAUAUUGGACAAUGGGCGCAAGCCUGAUCCAGCCAUGCCGCGUGAGUGAUGAAGGCCUUAGGGUUGUAAAGCUCUUUUGUCCGGGACGAUAAUGACGGUACCGGAAGAAUAAGCCCCGGCUAACUUCGUG